GCAGAACGUAAAACGUUUUUUAUUGUACAAAUCAUUGUACAUUGUAACACACCGCGGAGUUCACGGCCACGCCGUAAUGCAUAAUAAUUGUUUCAUAAUUUAAUUGUUAAUAGUUUGCUACAUAAUAGUAGUCCGUGUUUUGAAAAUAUAAACAUUUUGAAAAAUUUUGAAAACAAAUUUUGUCCGCAACCAACCUUUCGCGUCGACAAGCAAACGAGCACUGAGAAUUGGGAAAAGCAGCGAGUAACUCUGCCACCGACGAGGCCUCCUUAUAUAGUUGCUUUAUGUGCAUAAGCAUCGCAAAUAAAAAGUGCCGCAAAAGUGAACACACAAACGUUUGAACUUGUAUCGCUUGUUGAAAAUUCGUAUGUGACCAAUACACUCCGCGUCAACAGUCCAGAGCCAAAAAAUGGGAAAUAGAAAAAAUAACAGAAAAAGUGGAUCGUUUGCUAUGGAAAAUGAGGCUGGUGAAACACAUAGCGAGUCGGUGGCAUUUGGCGCUGCUCCAAGUGGUGGAAGUUUUAGUGCCAACGCAGCACACAGCACACAAUUCCCUGCGUCCCAGAUUACAAUUUUGAAGUGCAAAACUAGAUAUAUUUUCGAUAGGCAAGAAUCAAUACGCACGGAUAUGGAUAUUGAGAAGCUGUGCCAAAUGGAUGAGUACGACUUGCGCGGACUGCUGGAAUCACAGACGGAGCUUAAAUCGAAUUUUGUUGUAGCCCAUACCAGCUUAGAGGAGGCGGAUUUUGAGUCCAGGUUCAGUGAAAUACCUGCACGGUUUGACCAUCUUCAGCGUGAGCUUGGAUGUCGGAGCAUGUUGGAAAAAAGAUGGAGCACUAGGAAUUCUUACACAAAAAACCCCAACUCUAGUGCAUCCCAAUCAAUCGUCGUUAUGGCCAAUCGAUCUCGGUUACCUCAGCUGGAGCUGCCAAAAUUUAAUGGAAUUUACACGGAGUGGGCCAAUUUCUUCUCAAUGUUCACCGCGAUCAUUGACAAGGAGUCCGAUAUGACCCUUAUUGAAAAGCUUCAGCGUCUGCGUUCCUGUUUGAGUGCCGCAGCCCUCAAUACCAUCAGCUCAUUGGAGAUAAAUGAGGCAAUUAUAUCGUGGCAUUAGAUAUUUUAAAGCGUCGCUUUAAUAAUAAACGUUUUAUUUUGCAGGCACACAUCAGAUGGAUAUUUGGGUUGGAGAAGGCGGACGUAUCGGUGGGCAGGCUGAGGGAACUGACUGACAGAGUCACCUCAAAUAUUCGUGCAAUGGAAUCGCUGGCUAGUAAGGAAGAAGUAGCCGACUGUAUUCUGGUACAAACAAUACUUCAGAAGCUGGACAAGGCCACUCAGAGCAGAUGGGAGGAUACUUCGUCGAAUCAGAGCUGCCGACGUGGGAAAAAUUGUCGGGAUUUUUGGAAAAAAGAUGUCGGACGCUUGAAAAUGCGGAUCAAUCGACGCAAGGGCAAGAUCAGUUUGGCAAGUCCGGAAAAACCGUGAGUAUGCAUCAAAGAAAAUCUUUCGUCGCAUCGAGCGCCCCCAUUUCUUGUGUGUUAUGCGAGGGCACGAACUAUAUGAUUGCCAAUUGUCCACGGUUGACACCUCUGUCGCCGAAUGAUCGUCAAUUGAAAGCAAAACGGCUCUUAUUAUGCCUUAAUUGCCUACGAAAAGGCCAUCAUGUAAAGGAUUGUAAAUCCGGUCCAUGCCGCACUUGCCGAUCGAAGCACCACACGCUUUUGCAUUUCAUUCGUCCAACUGAUUACAUUACAAUUUGCUUCUAUGAAUAUCCAAAAUCCAAGUCAUACCGCUGCGAAGUCAUACAAAAUAAUGGUGGAUACUGUAUACAUUCACGGGACUACUGAUAAUGAGAAAAUUGUAGAAAAAUCUUGAUACGUUUUGAGUUUUUGGCUUUGCAGAAUUUCUGUACUUAUUAUUUUGACCAUAGAUUUGUAAUGCUUUUUAGCUAUAAUGG
rnacentral:lncRNA from 1 species